rnacentral:rRNA from 1 species
UACAGAGGUCUCAAGCGUUGUUCGGAUUCAUUGGGCGUAAAGGGUGCGUAGGCGGCAGCGCAAGUCAGGUGUGAAAUCCCGGGGCUCAACCCCGGAACUGCACUUGAUACUGCGUUGCUUGAGUACUGGAGAGGAGACUGGAAUUUACGGUGUAGCAGUGAAAUGCGUAGAUAUCGUAAGGAAGACCAGUGGCGAAGGCGGGUCUCUGGACAGUUCCUGACACUGAGACACGAAGGCCAGGGGAGCAAACGGG